rfam:Triticum aestivum genome assembly, contig: Triticum_aestivum_CS42_TGACv1_scaffold_050499_1BS
AAAAUGCUGUGAUGAAUCAUGAAAUCUACAACGUAUGUCAGACUUCAGAGAUGCCAUUUAGCAUUAAUGAGAAGAUAUUUCAUAUUCUGAGCAAUAA